rnacentral:rRNA from 1 species
GACGAACGCUGGCGGCGUGCUUAACACAUGCAAGUCGAACGGUAAGGCCCUUCUGGGUACACGAGUGGCGAACGGGUGAGUAACACGUGGGUGAUCUGCCCUGCACUUCGGGAUAAGCCUGGGAAACUGGGUCUAAUACCGGAUAGGACCACUGCCUGCAUGGGUGGUGGUGGAAAGCUUUUGCGGUGUGGGAUGGGCCCGCGGCCUAUCAGCUUGUUGGUGGGGUGAUGGCCUACCAAGGCGACGACGGGUAGCCGGCCUGAGAGGGUGACCGGCCACACUGGGACUGAGAUACGGCCCAGACUCCUACGGGAGGCAGCAGUGGGGAAUAUUGCACAAUGGGCGCAAGCCUGAUGCAGCGACGCCGCGUGAGGGAUGACGGCCUUCGGGUUGUAAACCUCUUUCAGCACCGACGAAGCGCAAGUGACGGUAGGUGCAGAAGAAGGACCGGCCAACUACGUGCCAGCCGCCGCCGUAA